UACAGAGGUCUCAAGCGUUGUUCGGAUUCAUUGGGCGUAAAGGGUGCGUAGGCGGCGCGGUAAGUCGGGUGUGAAAUCUUGGAGCUUAACUCCGAAACUGCAUUCGAUACUGCCGUGCUUGAGGACUGGAGAGGAGACUGGAAUUUACGGUGUAGCGGUGGAAUGCGCAGAUAUCAGGAGGAACACCAAUGGCGAAGGCAGCACUCUGGUACGUGAUUGACGCUGAGACGCGAAAGCGUGGGGAGCAAACAGG
rnacentral:rRNA from 1 species